AGUGAACGCUGGCGGUAGGCCUAACACAUGCCAGUCGAACGGCAGCACAGUAAGAGCUUGCUCUUACGGGUGGCGAGUGGCGGACGGGUGAGGAAUACAUCGGAAUCUACUUUUUCGUGGGGGAUAACGUAGGGAAACUUACGCUAAUACCGCAUACGACCUACGGGUGAAAGCAGGGGAUCUUCGGACCUUGCGCGAUUGAAUGAGCCGAUGUCGGAUUAGCUAGUUGGCGGGGUAAAGGCCCACCAAGGCGACGAUCCGUAGCUGGUCUGAGAGGAUGAUCAGCCACACUGGAACUGAGACACGGUCCAGACUCCUACGGGAGGCAGCAGUGGGGAAUAUUGGACAAUGGGCGCAAGCCUGAUCCUGCCAUACCGCGUGGGUGAAGAAGGCCUUCGGGUUGUAAAGCCCUUUUGUUGGGAAAGAAAAGCAGCAGGUUAAUACCCCGCUGUUCUGACGGUACCCAAAGAAUAAGCACCGGCUAACUUCGUG
rnacentral:rRNA from 1 species